rnacentral:rRNA from 1 species
GACCAGACUCCUACGGGAGGCAGCAGUGGGGAAUAUUGCACAAUGGGGGAAACCCUGAUGCAGCGACGCCGCGUGAGCGAUGAAGUAUUUCGGUAUGUAAAGCUCUAUCAGCAGGGAAGAAGAUGACGGUACCUGACUAAGAAGCCCCGGCUAACUACGUGCCGGCAGCCGCGGUAAUACGUAGGGGGCAAGCGUUAUCCGGAUUUACUGGGUGUAAAGGGAGCGUAGACGGCGAUGCAAGCCAGAUGUGAAAGCCCGGGGCUCAACCCCGGGACUGCAUUUGGAACUGUGUGGCUGGAGUGUCGGAGAGGCAGGCGGAAUUCCUAGUGUAGCGGUGAAAUGCGUAGAUAUUAGGAGGAACACCAGUGGCGAAGGCGGCCUGCUGGACGAUGACUGACGGUGAGGCUCGAAAGCGUGGGGAGCAAACAGGAUUAGAUACCCCCGUACUC